rnacentral:misc_RNA from 1 species
UCUCCGUAGGUGAACCUGCGGAGGGAUCAUUACAGAGUUCAUGCCCUACCGGGUAGAUCUCCCACCCUAUGUUAUUAUUACUUUGUUGCUUUGGCGGGCCGUUAGGCUCCGGCCCGACUACCGGCCCCGGCUGGUAAGCGCCCGCCAGAGGACCCAAAACCCUGAAUAUUAGUGUCGUCUGAGUACUAUAUUAUAGUUAAAACUUUCAACAACGGAUCUCUUGGUUCUG